AUCUCGCAGCCGUCCCGCGGUCUCGCAAGCUCCAACUUCCACUGGAAGAUGUUCCUACCUGUGGCCCAGCGCCGCCGACAACAAGUCCGUCGCCUACCGUGACGGUUCCACCCGCUGGUGCUCCAGCUCGACGACGACGUCGCCGACCUGCGGGCGCUGGUGGGCCGCCUAGCGUCGCCGGCCUCCGUGAAGGCCGUGGCACGGCUGGGCCGCGUGCUCGUGUCGCUCUCCGGCCUGUUGCACCAACCACAGGCGCAGGACCCGCUGCGCCGCCUCGGCCCGUCCCCGUUCGCGGAGCGGACGACUUCCUCCGCCUCGUCGACGCGCACGGCAGCUUCCGCGACGCUCUGGUCGCGCUCGCCGCGCUCCAGGUUGAGGCCCGCGUCGCGCUGCGCAAGGAGGAGCCGGCCCGCCUCGCGUCGGCCGCGCGCGCUGCGCUGGUCCGCGCGGGACCUCCCGCGGGUCGCCUCCUCGGCGCGCGCCGUGGCCGCCAGGCCCCCGCCCACCCCGCCCGCCGACCUCCGACGCGUCGGCCUCGGCGGCGGUCUUCUCCGGUGUCUCCUCGCUCUCCGUCGCCGCCGCCACGGCGCGCGUCGAGGUCGACGCCACGCCGUGCUGCAUGUCCUCCCCCGCGAGGUUAAGCGCGCCGUCCGCCACGCCCAGACACGUGGUCGUCACCACCGGGUCCUCCUCCUCGACCUCCAUGCCAUGGAUCUGGUGGGUCGCCGACCUCAUGCGGUGGAUGUCGCGUGCGAAGCGUCGAUCGGCCAAGAGGCAGCACGCCGCCACGUCUGCCGUGGGGCCCAGAUGGAGGCCGCCGCGGACCCGGAGGAGCGAGAGCGGAAGGCGGCGUUUGAGCGGCUGGACAAUCUAGGACGGUGCAUCGCGGACGUGGAGAGCAGCGGCGAGAAGGUGUUCAGAGCCCUCGUCAACACCAGAGUCUCCCUCCUCAACAUUCUCAGCCCAGCCUUCUGAUUCCCGAAUCAUCAGAACCCAGCAAACUCGACUGCAUUUUGCAACCUUGAAUCCAUUGUAAAAACCUAGAUUCUUUUGAAACGUCUAAGGAUUUUUUCCUUUUGAAACGAACAUUAAAAAAAUCCUUUUGAAACGAACAUCUAAGCUUUGGAAUUUGGAUGCGUGUGCAUCACAUUUCUAGAAUCGGUAGCUAAUUAAAGGGCCAUUUUCCUCCCCCUUGUACUUGUGCCUAAAUUUAGACAACAUCCUCAAACUUAAAUAUGGGACAGCUCAAU